rnacentral:rRNA from 1 species
AGGCUAUAACUGACGCUAAAGCUCGAAGGUGCGGGUAUCGAACAGGAUUAGAUACCCUGGUAGUCCGCACGGUAAACGAUGGAUGCCCGCUGUUGGCGAUAUAUUGUCAGCGGCCAAGCGAAAGCGUUAAGCAUCCCACCUGGGGAGUACGCCGGCAACGGUGAAACUCAAAGGAAUUGACGGGGGCCCGCACAAGCGGAGGAACAUGUGGUUUAAUUCGAUGAUACGCGAGGAACCUUACCCGGGCUUGAACUGCAGGAGAACGAUUCAGAGAUGAUGAUGUCCUUCGGGACUCCUGUGGAGGUGCUGCAUGGUUGUCGUCAGCUCGUGCCGUGAGGUGUCGGCUUAAGUGCCAUAACGAGCGCAACCCUUUUCAUUAGUUGCCAUCAGGUAAUGCUGGGCACUCUGGUGAUACUGCCACCGUAAGGUGUGAGGAAGGUGGGGAUGACGUCAAAUCAGCACGGCCCUUACGUCCGGGGCUACACACGUGUUACAAUGGGUGGUACAGAGAGUUGGUCGCUGGCAAUAGCGAUCUAAUCCUAAAAGCCAUCCUCAGUUCGGAUUGGGGUCUGCAACCCGACCCCAUGAAGCUGGAUUCGC